rnacentral:rRNA from 1 species
UACGGGGGGAGCAAGCGUUGUUCGGAUUUACUGGGCGUAAAGGGCGCGUAGGCGGCGUAACAAGUCACUUGUGAAAUCUCCGGGCUUAACUCGGAGCGGUCAAGUGAUACUGUUGUGCUAGAGUGCGGAAGGGGCUACUGGAAUUCUCGGUGUAGCGGUGAAAUGCGUAGAUAUCGAGAGGAACACCUGCGGCGAAGGCGGGUAGCUGGGCCGACACUGACGCUGAGGCGCGAAAGCUAGGGGAGCGAUCCGG